rnacentral:rRNA from 1 species
AGAAUUUGAUCUUGGUUCAGACUGAACGCUGACGGCGUGGAUGAGACAUGCAAGUCGAACGGAUAGGUGAGCAAUCACCUAUGAGUGGCGAAAGGGUUAGUAAUGCAUGGGCAACUUGCCUAUAACCUUGGGAUAACGGUUGGAAACGACCGCUAAUACCGAAUGAGAUGGGAUAUGGCAUCGUAUCCAAAUCAAAGUUGGGGACUUGGAGGCAAGCCUUGCGGUUAAAGAGAGGCCCAUGAGGUAUCAGCUAGUUGGUGAGGUAAAGGCUCACCAAGGCUAAGACGCCUAGGCGGAUUGAGAGAUUGACCGCCAACACUGGGACUGAGACACUGCCCAGACUCCUACGGGAGGCAGCAGUCGAGAAUAUUUCGCAAUGGGCGAAAGCCUGACGAAGCGACGCCGUGUGAACGAUGAAGGCCUUUGGGUUGUAAAGUUCUGUCGCCUGUGAACAUGUGUAUAUAGUGAAUAACUAGAUAUAUUGAGUGUAGCAGGAAAGGAAGCACCGGCUAACUCCGUGCCAGCAGCUGCGGUAAUACGGAGGGUGCAAGCGUUAGUCGGAAUUACUGGGCGUAAAGGGUGCGUAGGCGGGUAUACAAGUCACAUGUGAAAUUCCGAGGCUCAACCUCGGAGCUGCAUGUGAAACUGUAUAUCUAGUGGAAUGGCGGAGAAAAUGGAAUUCCAUGUGUAGCGGUGAAAUGCGUGGAUAUAUGGAAGAACACCUGUGGCGAAAGCGGUUUUCUAGCCUACUCCAGACGCUGAGGCACGAAAGCAAGGGGAUCAAACAGGAUUAGAUACCCUGGUAGUCCUUGCCUUAAACGAUGUAUACUUGGCGUAGUUGGACUCAACCCCAACUGUGCCGAAGCUAACGCGAUAAGUAUACCGCCUGGGGAGUACGCUCGCAAGGGUAAAACUCAAAAGAAUUGACGGGGACCCGCACAAGCAGUGGAGCAUGUGGUUUAAUUCGAUCCACGCGAAGAACCUUACCUGGGUUUGACAUACAUUUGACGACUAGAGAGAUUUAGUUUUCCCGCAAGGGACAGAUGAACAGGUGCUGCAUGGCUGUCGUCAGCUCGUGCCGUGAGGUGUUGGGUAAAGUCCCGCAACGAGCGCAACCCUUGUCGUUAGUUGCCAGCGAGUAAUGUCGGGCACUCUAGCGAGACUGCCUGGGUUAACCAGGAGGAAGGUGAGGAUGACGUCAAGUCCGCAUGGCCUUUAUAUCCAGGGCUACACACGUGCUACAAUGGCAGGUACAGAGGGGUGCAAAACCGCGAGGUGGAGCAAAUCCGGAAAGCCUGCCCCAGUUCAGAUUGUAGUCUGCAACUCGACUACAUGAAGAUGGAAUUGCUAGUAAUGGCGAGUCAGCAACAUCGCCGUGAAUACGUUCCCGGGUCUUGUACACACCGCCCGUCAAGUCAUGGGAGUUGGUUUUACCCGAAGUCGCUUACUUAACUCGAAAGAGAGGGGAGCGCCUAAGGUGAGGCUGAUGACUGGGACUAAGUCGUAACAAGGUA